GUUGGACUCCAUUUUUUAUCGUGGACCUUAUUGUGGGUUCAAUGUGGAUCGAAUUUUGAGGUAUCAAAUUUUAAUAACUAGUAUUACAUAAGAUUGACUGUAUAGUUUGCAUCAUAAAUAUAUAGGCAUGGAUCGUAGUUGGAUGUUAUUGCACGAUAAGUUCUAUCUCGAGUAUAUUGCGGGUGUGAUGUCUUUUAUGAACG
rnacentral:lncRNA from 1 species